AUUGAACGCUGGCGGCAGGCCUAACACAUGCAAGUCGAGCGGAUGAAGGGAGCUUGCUCCUGGAUUCAGCGGCGGACGGGUGAGUAAUGCCUAGGAAUCUGCCUGUUAGUGGGGGAUAACGUCCGGAAACGGGCGCUAAUACCGCAUACGUCCUGAGGGAGAAAGUGGGGGAUCUUCGGACCUCACGCUAUCAGAUGAGCCUAGGUCGGAUUAGCUAGUUGGUGGGGUAAAGGCCUACCAAGGCGACGAUCCGUAACUGGUCUGAGAGGAUGAUCAGUCACACUGGAACUGAGACACGGUCCAGACUCCUACGGGAGGCAGCAGUGGGGAAUAUUGGACAAUGGGCAAAAGCCUGAUCCAGCCAUGCCGCGUGUGUGAAGAAGGUCUUCGGAUUGUAAAGAACUUUAAGUUGGGAGGAAGGGCAGUAAGUUAAUACCUUGCUGUUUUGACGUUACCAACAGAAUAAGCACCGGCUAACUUCGUG
rnacentral:rRNA from 1 species